UAUGCUUGUUUUUUUAGAUGCACGUUACUUGUUUAUGUAUUUAUGUUUGAGUUGGUGACAGAGACUAAGGACAAAUAGGAAUGGGAUGUGAUUUGAUAAAUGGAUAAGAUGACAGCCUCACUAGAUAUCCUGGGAGAUGGUGGACGGACUUAGUUCAUAGGAAACCCUACCGUGAACGUUGUCUCAUACCGGACAGGGUAUGGAGACUUGGUCAUUUGGCGCUCAUACUAGACGGGGUUGGGGACGAUCCUGGAAUUAAGAUUGUUUAAAGAAAAUGGUUCACGUGUAACGGGGACCCCUAUGAAUCUCCAUGGAUAGUAGUAGGCUGGUGAAAAAUGAGAAACUGUGAUAGUCA
rnacentral:lncRNA from 1 species